GAUGAACGCUGGCGGCGCGCCUAGCACAUGCAAGUCGAACGAUUAAAGCACCUUCGGGUGUGUAUAAAGUGGCGAACGGCUGAGUAACACGUGGGCAACCUGCCCCUCUCAUUGGGAUAGCCACGGGAAACCGUGGAUAAUACCGAAUACUUCGGGACUUCCGCAUGGAAGACUCGAGAAAGCUCCGGCGGAGAGGGAUGGGCCCGCGGCCUGUUAGCUUGUUGGUGGGGUAAUGGCCUACCAAGGCAAUGAUGGGUAGCUGGGUUGAGAGACCGACCAGCCAGAUUGGGACUGAGACACGGCCCAGACUCCUACGGGAGGCAGCAGUGGGGAAUCUUGCACAAUGGGCGAAAGCCUGAUGCAGCGACGCCGCGUGCGGGAUGAAGGCCUUCGGGUUGUAAACCGCUUUCAGCAGGGACGAGGCGAAAGUGACGGUACCUGCAGAAGAAGCCCCGGCUAACUACGUG
rnacentral:rRNA from 1 species